CUGUAACUAAAUCAAUCAGAUGAGUUCACCUCUAUAUAAACACAAAAAUCAAACCAUUUGCUGUUUGGCACCAAUAACAUGUUAUCCACAGGAGAGAGAACCCACAACAGUUGUGCAUGAAAUUACCAGAGCUGACCUGUGAUGGUGCAAGGGGGCUGCCAAGAUAUGAUCUCCUUCUGUCACUUGAAUCAAUGCUUCCAGUUCUGCUGCCUCAACCACCAAAAUUUCCUGUCUGAUAACGGCAUCUCCAAGCACAUGGGUUGAAUCUUCCAGAACAUCUGUGAAUAAAGGCACAGGGAUCCAGCUCCAAAUCUCGGUUUCUGGGUUAUCCAUUGUGGUUACUUACUGCAACAAAUAGCACUCUUUACGUGCUAGUAACACAUACACACGCUCAUCUUGUCCUGAAUUGCAGUACUGUUUUCUUUCCUGUCAUGCUCCCCCAGAUUUCCAUAUACUGGUGACUUUAUUUGACGUCAACAUUGUUAAUUUUGAAAUGAACCGUUUUUACAAUUACUUACUUGAACAAAAGAAACGUGUGAAUGCAAUUCAGAAUAUUAACUGAAUUUUGUAUGAUGUCAAAGUUACAUAAAACUCAUUGGAUUGUUCACAAAGAGUAGGUCAUUCAGAUAAUCAUAUUAUUUUAAACCCAAAACUCAAAAUUUACAGUGUUCUUCACAGCACUUUAUUGAACAACUUUCACUAUUAAACAUUUAACAUACUUUUUAUAUAAUUUUUAUUGUCAAAAAAUUUGGUGAAAGUUAAAAAACAAACUUCUCUCUAACUAUAUAAAUCUCCAAGAGGCUUCAGUAAUAUAAAAGUAUAGGGCACAUGUAUUUGAGUUUGUGUUCUGCAGGCAACUCCAGUUAUGAUUCUUAUGUGAAAUUAACUACCUUUAUACAUUUUGUAAUACAUGCAUUAAAUUUGUUGCACAUAUUUAA